UAUUCCACUGUGCACAGUUUGAAUUUGGAGCC
rnacentral:piRNA from 1 species